GACGAACGCUGGCGGCGUGCCUAACACAUGCAAGUCGAACGGACAGGCCCUGCUUUUGUGCGGUGCUCGAGUGGCGAACGGGGGAGUAACACGUGUGUAACCUGUCCUUGACUUAGGGAUAUCUUCAGGAAACUGGGGCUCAUAUCGGCUAGGAUAUCUUGCUGCAUGGUGGGGGUUGGUAAGUUUCGGCGGUUGGGGAUGGACUCGCGGCUUAUCAGCUUGUUGGUGGGGUAGUGGCUUACCAAGGCUUUGACGGGUAGCCGGCCUGGGCGGGUGACCGGCCACAUUGGGACUGAGAUACGGCCCAGACGCCUAUGGGAGGCAGCGGUGGAGAAGAUUGCACAAUGGGCGGGAGCCAGAGGCGACAACGCCGCGUGCGGGAAGACGUGCUUCGGGUGGGAAACCACUGUCGCGUGAGACGAGGCGUGAGUGACGGUAAUGGGUAAAGAAGCACCGGCUAACUACGUG
rnacentral:rRNA from 1 species